AAGAGCACAUGGUGGAUGCCUGGGCAUCAGGAGCCGAUGAAGGACGUGGGAGGCCGCGAUAGGCCUCGGGGAGCUGUCAACCGAGCUGUGAUCCGAGGGUGUCCGAAUGGGGAAACCCAGCGCCCGUCAUGGGGCGUUACCCGUACCUGAAUUCAU
rnacentral:rRNA from 9 species